AGAGUUUGAUCAUGGCUCAGAUUGAACGCUGGCGGCAGGCUUAACACAUGCAAGUCGAGCGGAGAUGAGGUGCUUGCACCUUAUCUUAGCGGCAGACGGGUGAGUAAUGCUUAGGAAUCUGCCUAUUAGUGGGGGACAACAUUCCGAAAGGAAUGCUAAUACCGCAUACGUCCUACGGGAGAAAGCAGGGGAUCUUCGGACCUUGCGCUAAUAGAUGAGCCUAAGUCGGAUUAGCUAGUUGGUGGGGUAAAGGCCUACCAAGGCGACGAUCUGUAGCGGGUCUGAGAGGAUGAUCCGCCACACUGGGACUGAGACACGGCCCAGACUCCUACGGGAGGCAGCAGUGGGGAAUAUUGGACAAUGGGGGGAACCCUGAUCCAGCCAUGGCCGCGUGUGUGAAGAAGGCCUUAUGGUUGUAAAGCACUUUAAGCGAGGAGGAGGCUACUGAGACUAAUACUCUUGGAUAGUGGACGUUACUCGCAGAAUAAGCACCGGCUAACUCUGUGCCAGCAGCCGCGGUAAUACAGAGGGUGCGAGCGUUAAUCGGAUUUACUGGGCGUAAAGCGUGCGUAGGCGGCUUUUUAAGUCGGAUGUGAAAUCCCCGAGCUUAACUUGGGAAUUGCAUUCGAUACUGGGAAGCUAGAGUAUGGGAGAGGAUGGUAGAAUUCCAGGUGUAGCGGUGAAAUGCGUAGAGAUCUGGAGGAAUACCGAUGGCGAAGGCAGCCAUCUGGCCUAAUACUGACGCUGAGGUACGAAAGCAUGGGGAGCAAACAGGAUUAGAUACCCUGGUAGUCCAUGCC
rnacentral:rRNA from 1 species